rnacentral:rRNA from 1 species
GAGUUUGAUCCUGGCUCAGAUUGAACGCUGGCGGCAUGCCUUACACAUGCAAGUCGAACGGCAGCACGGGGGCAACCCUGGUGGCGAGUGGCGAACGGGUGAGUAAUACAUCGGAACGUGUCCUGUAGUGGGGGAUAGCCCGGCGAAAGCCGGAUUAAUACCGCAUACGAUCUACGGAAGAAAGCGGGGGAUCGCAAGACCUCGCGCUAUAGGGGCGGCCGAUGGCAGAUUAGCUAGUUGGUGGGGUAAAGGCCUACCAAGGCGACGAUCUGUAGCUGGUCUGAGAGGACGACCAGCCACACUGGGACUGAGACACGGCCCAGACUCCUACGGGAGGCAGCAGUGGGGAAUUUUGGACAAUGGGGGCAACCCUGAUCCAGCAAUGCCGCGUGUGUGAAGAAGGCCUUCGGGUUGUAAAGCACUUUUGUCCGGAAAGAAAACUUCCUGGUUAAUACCUGGGGAGGAUGACGGUACCGGAAGAAUAAGCACCGGCUAACUACGUGCCAGCAGCCGCGGUAAUACG